UUUGUUAGUUCGUACCAGUUUAGAUAAUUACUGGAGGAAAAAAACACAAAAAA
rnacentral:sRNA from 1 species